CAGUAGCCGCGGUAAUGCGUAGGGUGCGAGCAUUAAUCGGAAUUACUGGGCGUAAAGCGUGCGCAGGCGGUUAUAUAAGACAGAUGUGAAAUCCCCGGGCUCAACCUGGGACCUGCAUUUGUGACUGUAUAGCUAGAGUACGGUAGAGGGGGAUGGAAUUCCGCGUGUAGCAGUGAAAUGCGUAGAUAUGCGGAGGAACACCGAUGGCGAAGGCAAUCCCCUGGACCUGUACUGACGCUCAUGCACGAAAGCGUGGGGAGCAAACAGGAUUAGAUACCCGUGUAGUCCCUGUCUCUUAUAC
rnacentral:rRNA from 1 species